rnacentral:rRNA from 1 species
GUGACCUCAAAUCAGGUAGGACUACCCGCUGAACUUAAGCAUAUCAAUAAGCGGAGGAAAAGAAACUAACAAGGAUUCCCCUAGUAACUGCGAGUGAAGCGGGAAAAGCUCAAAUUUAAAAUCUGGCAGUCUUUGGCUGUCCGAGUUGUAAUCUAGAGAAGUGUUAUCCGCGCUGGACCGUGUACAAGUCUCCUGGAAUGGAGCSUCAUAGAGGGUGAGAAUCCCGUCUUUGACACGGACUACCAGGGCUUUGUGAUGCGCUCUCAAAGAGUCGAGUUGUUUGGGAAUGCAGCUCAAAAUGGGUGGUAAAUUCCAUCUAAAGCUAAAUAUUGGCGAGAGACCGAUAGCGAACAAGUACCGUGAGGGAAAGAUGAAAAGAACUUUGGAAAGAGAGUUAAACAGUACGUGAAAUUGCUGAAAGGGAAACGCUUGAAGUCAGUCGCGUCGUCCAGGGAUCAACCUUGCUUUUGCUUGGUGCACUUUCUGGUUGACGGGUCAGCAUCAAUUUUGACCAUUGGAAAAAGAUUAAGGGAAUGUGACAUCUUUGGAUGUGUUAUAGCCCUUGGUUGCAUACGAUGGUUGGGAUUGAGGAACUCAGCACGCCGCAAGGCCGGGUU